rnacentral:pre_miRNA from 7 species
CACUAGAAGUGGGCCUUCCCACAUCAAAGUGAAAGAUCCCCAAAUGGAGACCCUCACUCAAGCCUCGGGAUGUGGCGAGGACCCAAGAGAGAUGCGGAGACCG